rnacentral:tRNA from 1 species
GCGGAUGUGGUGGAAUUGGUAGACACGCUAGAUUUAGGUUCUAGUGCCUUCGGGCGUGGGAGUUCAAGUCUCCCCAUCCGCA